ensembl:lncRNA
GGUGACCUUGGGAUGUUAAGUGGCGGAUGGUAAGGCAGUGUCUGAAGUGGGACAGCAGAACCAGGAAGAACACCAGGAAUUCGUGGAGGACUUCAUGGAGGUCCUCACCUUGGAUACUGAGUUCUCAGAGCAUUUCCAUGGCGGUUAAUUUGUUGCUGUCUGGCUGGGCUACCAUGGAUGCUAGGGAAAAGGGAUGGAAUCUCAAGAGCCAGGAAAUGAAGAGGCCAGGAUAAAACAGUGUGGAGCUCAGCAGCUGCUGCCAGCUGUUCUCGAGCCAGAUAGUGAGGUGGGCUAUCCUCUACCUGAGGGGCUGCGGUGCAGUCGCGGAAGAUAAUAUGAUGGCAAAGAGACCGAAGGGAGAGACCCCAGUUAAGGCUGAGCACUCCCAGAAACCAGGAUGGCCUGGUGGCAUUUGUCCUGACAGCUGCUGAGGGCUUCAACUUCCAGAAAAGCCAUUUGCUCAGGCUUGCCCUGUCUGGCCAACUUCGAAUCACUUAAAGGACCCUGGUUGGCCUCUGAGGUCCCCCUCUCUGCACCUGAACCCUCCCAUCUUUGGAAGACAAGGCAAGUUCCUAGGAGACAUUCGCCCCACCGUCUGUCUCGAAGCUGCUGCUGUAACCUUCCCACAGUAGUCAACAUCAGCUGGCAAAUCCCUAAAUUAAGGUUCUGUUUACUCUGUUGUUCCAAAGGCUUGUUUUGAGCAAGAGGCUGUG